ACUGUCUUGGCAGAUUAGUGCAGUAAAUUUAGGAUUUAUUUAUGUAGAGUUUUUUACAGAUAGUA
rnacentral:tRNA from 1 species